rnacentral:sRNA from 1 species
CAAAGAGUGAAGCCCUCUCUUCAUCCACAGAACAGAUAGAGCAUAGACAGAGGGUGUACAAGCAUCCCCAAACUUCCCUGGCAACAUCUUUCACCCACCUGUUCUGGGAUGAGGGAAGUAUCCAUACCCAUUUCAUCCUUGGCCUUU